GGAGGAAAAGAAACCAACAGGGAUUGCGUCAGUAGCGGCGAGUGAAGCGGCAAAAGCUCAAAUUUGAAACCCUCGGGAUUGUAAUUUGAAGAUUUGGCAUUGGAGAAAGCUAACCCAAGUUGCUUGGAAUAGUACGUCAUAGAGGGUGACAACCCCGUCUGGCUAACCGUUCUCCAUGUAUUGCCUUAUCAAAGAGUCGAGUUGUUUGGGAAUGCAGCUCAAAGUGGGUGGUAAACUCCAUCUAAAGCUAAAUACUGGUGAGAGACCGAUAGCGAACAAGUACUGUGAAGGAAAGGUGAAAAGAACUUUGAAAAGAGAGUGAAAUAGUAUGUGAAAUUGUUGAUAGGGAAGGAAAUGAGUGGAGAGUGGCCGAGGUUUCAGCCGCCCCUCGUGGGCGGUGUACUGCCGACGCCGAGUCAUCGAUAGCGAGACGAGGGUUACAAAUGGGAGCGCCUUUCGGGCGUUCUCCCCUAACCCUCCACACUGCCACCGACGACAUAAUCCACCCAUUUCACCCGUCUU
rnacentral:rRNA from 1 species